GUCUACGGCCAUGCCCUGAACAUGCCUGAUCUCAUCUGAUCUCGGAAGCUAAGCAGGGUUGGGCCUGGUUAGUACUUGGAUGGGAGACCACCUAGGAAGACUAGGUGCUGUAGGCA
rnacentral:rRNA from 1 species